rnacentral:rRNA from 1 species
CCUACGCGAGGCAGCAGUGGGGAAUAUUGCGCAAUGGGCGAAAGCCUGACGCAGCGACGCCGCGUGAGGGCUGAAGGUCUUCGGAUCGUAAACCUCUGUCAGCAGGGAAGAACGGUCACUGUGCUAAUCAGCAGUGAAUUGACGGUACCUUCAAAGGAAGCACCGGCUAACUCAGUGCCAGCAGCCGCGGUAAUACUGAGGGUGCGAGCGUUAAGCGGAAUUACUGGGCGUAAAGCGCUCGUAGGCGGUAUGUCAAGUCAAGGGUGAAAUCCCCGCGCUCAACGUGGGAACUGCCUUUGAAACUGGUAAACUAGAGUGUGUGAGAGGAUAGUGGAAUUCCAGGUGGAGGAGUGAAAUCCGUAGAUAUCUGGAGGAACAUCAGUGGAGAAGGCGACUAUCUGGCACAUAACUGACGCUGAGGAGCGAAAGCGUGGGUAGCAAACAGGAUUAGAUACCCUAGUAGUC